rnacentral:tRNA from 1 species
GGAGAGAUGGCUGAGCGGUUGAAAGCACUGGUCUUGAAAACCAGCAAGGUCUUACGGCCUUCGUGGGUUCGAAUCCCACUCUCUCCG